rnacentral:rRNA from 1 species
CAGUGGUGAAAUAUUCGGGCUCAANNNGGAUACUGCCAUUGAUACUGUAUAGCUGGAAUAUGGUUGCUGUGGGUGGAAUGUGUGGUGUAGCGGUGAAAUGCAUAGAUAUCACACAGAAUAUCGAUUGCGAAGGCAACUCACAAAGCCAUUAUUGACGCUGAUGCACGAAAGUGUGGGGAUCAAACAGGAUUAGAUACCCUGGUAGUCCACACUGUAAACGAUGAUAACUAGCUGUCGGCGAUAGAUAGUCGGUGGCUAAGCGAAAGCGAUAAGUUAUCCACCUGGGGAGUACGACCGCAAGGUUGAAACUCAAAGGAAUUGACGGGGGCCCGCACAAGCGGAGGAACAUGUGGUUUAAUUCGAUGAUACGCGAGGAACCUUACCCGGGCUCGAACGGUGCAGGAAUAUGGUAGAGAUAUCAUAGCUAGCAAUAGUCUGUAUCGAGGUGCUGCAUGGUUGUCGUCAGCUCGUGCCGUGAGGUGUCGGCUUAAGUGCCAUAACGAGCGCAACCCUUGUCGUUAGUUACCAUCAAGUAAAGUUGGGGACUCUAGCGAGACUGCCACCGUAAGGUGUGAGGAAGGGGGGGAUGACGUCAAAUCAGCACGGCCCUUACGUCCGGGGCGACACACGUGUUACAAUGGUAGGUACAGAGGGGCGCUAUCCAGUGAUGGAGUGCGAAUCUCAAAAACCUAUCUCAGUUCGGAUUGGAGUCUGCAACUCGACUCCAUGAAGUUGGAUUCGCUAGUAAUCGCGCAUCAGCCAUGGCGCGGUGAAUACGUUCCCGGGCCUUGUACACACCGCCCGUCAAGCCAUGGAAGCCGGGGGUGCCUGAAGUUCGUGACCGCAAGGAGCGACCUAGGGCAAAACUGGUAACUGGGGCUAAGUCGUAACAAGGUAACC